UACGGAGGUGGCAAGCGCUGCUCGGAAUCACUGGGCGUAAAGGGCGCGUAGGCGGGGAGGUAAGUCGGGUGUGAAAUCCCUCGGCCCAACCGAGGAACUGCGCCCGAGACUGCUUCUCUUGAGUCCCGGAGAGGAAGAUGGAAUUCCCGGUGUAGCGGUGAAAUGUGUAGAGAUCGGGAGGAACACCGGUGGCGAAGGCGGUCUUCUGGACGGUGACUGACGCUGAGGCGCGAAAGCGUGGGGAGCAAACGGG
rnacentral:rRNA from 1 species